rnacentral:rRNA from 1 species
AUACGGAGGGCGCAAGCGUUGUUCGGAAUCAUUGGGCGUAAAGCGGGUGCAGGCGGUGAAGUAAGUCGGAUGUGAAAUCCCGGGGCUCAACCCCGGAAGUGCAUCGGAAACUGUGUAGCUAGAGUCCCGGAGAGGAUGGUGGAAUUCCAGGUGUAGAGGUGAAAUUCGUAGAUAUCUGGAGGAACAUCAGUGGCGAAGGCGGCCAUCUGGACGGUGACUGACGCUGAGGUGCGAAAGCGUGGGGAGCGAACAGGAUUAGAAACCCCGGUAGUCC